CAUUUUCUGAAAAUACCUUGUUUCGAUUUUAUGAAUUGCGUAAUAAACAAAUGCAUAAUAUCAUAUCCACUAAAGGACUUUAUGAAGAAGCUAUAGCUUGAUCGGAUUGCUUACAAAUGGCAGCAGAAAUUCCAUUCACUCACCUUUACAGAGUGUUACGGCCAGACGAAGAUCCUACUGCUGGAAUAACUGCAAAGUCGCCAUCAAGUUCUUUGAGUGUCAGUGAUCACGUUGGUUGCGGUGCAUAUAGCACGAAAUAUAUAUCAACAUGCGCUACAGAAAGUUCAGCGAGGCGGUUUGCCAGUCUUGGAAUCAUGCAUCAUGACCAGUCAUGUCCCAAAAAAAUUAUAACCAUCGAUGUUGGAAUACUGAAACGCGCAAACCCGGGAGUUAUUUUUAUAAAUCUUACAGAUAAGUUUACAUUGGACUUUCAUAUUCCAGAUAUAUUUAGUAGAGGUAGACAGUGGGCUGUUGACUGGGAUGAAGUUUUGAUAAUCGGCACUAUACCCCCGUCGUGUAUUACAAAAGUUGACGAAAUGCCUUGAAGAAAAUUAUACUGCAGUUGAGAAUAAACAUAUACAUAUUCAUAAGAGAAAGAAGAAACAAUGUUAUUAACAUUAUUAGCAGACAAUUGAAUUCUUGAUAAUUGUAAGGAUAUAGUUAUAAUCUUUUGAACAAAAUCAUUUAUAGUAUUCGCAUACUUUUGUAAGAUUUAAAUUUAUACUCAAAUAAUGAUUUAUCAAGUAAUACGUUAAAUGUCUUCUGUUCAAGAUAAUUGCAAACAACAAAAACAACAACAACAACAGCAAACUGAACCUAUAAAUUUAUAAUGGGAACAAUCACUUAUUAAUUAUCUAUAUUAUUAAUGAUUUGCCCUGUGUUAUAUUCUUUGGUAACAUCCUUGAUUAUUUACCUACUAAAGGUAUUUGGUUCGCAUUUUGAAUGCUUUCCUUUGAUACCCUUGAAUUAUUAGACAAUAUCUUUUAUAAAAAGCAUGUACAUAAGUCUUAAGAAAGCAAGGUUAGAAACAGGAUUGUUUUAAAAUACCGCGAUCAGCUUUUAAUUACUAGUACUCGUCAAUAAUUGUUUUGAAAGAAGGUGUUCUAUAAUCAAUCAGUUUUGUUCUAUUUGUUGAUGGAGUUUUCUAAUUUCAUGAAAACUUAGUUAGAAAAGAUUAUGUUAACAAUUAUUGAGGAUAACAAGACGAUGUGUUACAUUAAAAGAUCUAAUAGGAUGUAAUAUUCAGGACAAUUCUUAUCCGAUCCUAAUUCACUAGCAAAAGGCGGCAUAUCCCUUAGGAACCAAUGACCUUUAGCUCGAAGAUCCAAUGUUUUACUAAUGAUAAAGUGAAUAACAUACGCGUCCUUGUCUUAUCAUAGUAAAAAGCGUGUCCUGUGGUUACAUUUUUAGGUAGCAGGGUACACUUCGGAUUUUGGCCCCCGUCAAUAUUUGUAAUAAUUAGAACUUUUGGAUUUUGGAUGUCUGUAAAUUAAGGUGAGAGAUAAUGAUUGUUAAUUCUUUCGAAAAUUUAUACAGCCGACACAUGUAAAAUUCUGAUUUCCGUUGUAAAACUAACUGCUGGUAGCUUUGCAUGAAUCAAUGAGGCACCUUUUCGCGGAAAAUUCAAAUCACGGAAGGGUUAUGUGCUUGUUGAUUGGUACUCAGGAACAUUUUCGCUAUUUUGCGAAAAAAAACGAGCUGGAUGGGCCCCCAUUCCGUUUAUAUCCUGAAGUUCAGUAAGGACUAUUAUAUUGAGAAAUGCAAUAAAAUUGGGCAUUGUUCUUGCGGGAUCACUGCAGGCUGUUCAAAAAGUGAAAAAUUGAUAAUUUUGGCAUGCUAUUUUUCAUGGAUGGUGUAAUAAUUGAUAACUUUCUUUAUUCUUGUAUGAGAAUCCUGAUCUUGCCAUUAACUAAAACCACAACACUUGCACGAAGUUUAUAAAAUGGCCACCCUGAUUCUGCUCAUAAGGGAAAUGCAAUAUUGCGACUCGCUUCAUGUAAGAUUGUCCGUGCCCAAAUUUUUCGAAUCUAAGUGUACCCUGCUACCUUAAUAUCUAAUUUCGAAUAUACGUUUUCCGAAAAUUUCUAAUGCUUAUUAUUGUCGUAUUGAAAAUACAUUUAAAAAUCCACAACAUUUAAAUUACAGUUCAAACCCGAUAACUCGAACUCGCUUAAGUUGAAUUUUCGCUUAAGUCAAACAUAUCUUUCAGUUCCAAUCUAAAUUUAAUCCAGUUUGACUUUGAGUUUCAACUGUACUUUGUCAAGUAGUGGAAUGAUGUGUGAUUUUAAACGUAAUAAAAUACUGUAAACUUGG